GGGCCCGCACAAGCGGUGGAGCAUGUGGUUUAAUUCGACGCAACGCGAAGAACCUUACCUGGUCUUGACAUCCUGCGAACUUUCUAGAGAUAGAUUGGUGCCUUCGGGAACGCAGUGACAGGUGCUGCAUGGCUGUCGUCAGCUCGUGUCGUGAGAUGUUGGUUGAAUGUCCCGUAACGAGCGCAACCCUUGUCCUUAGUUGCCAGCACAUUAUGGUGGGAACUCUAAGGAGACUGCCGGUGACAAAACCGGAGGAAGGUGGGGGACGACGUCAAGUCAUCAUGGCCCUUACGGCCUGGGCUACACACGUGCUACAAUGGCUAGGACAGACGGCGCAAACCCGCGAGGGGAGCCAA
rnacentral:rRNA from 1 species